rnacentral:rRNA from 1 species
GAUGAACGCUAGCGGCAGGCUUAGCACAUGCAAGUCGAGGGGUAACAUAGAAAAGCUUGCUUUUCUGAUGACGACCGGCGCACGGGUGCGUAACGCGUAUACAACCUACCUUUUAGCGGGGAAUAGCCCAGGGAAACUUGGAUUAAUGCCCCAUAGUAUAUAGACUUCUCCUGAAGUUUAUAUUAAACAUUUAUGGCUAUUAGAUGGGUAUGCGUCCUAUUAGUUAGUUGGUAAGGUAACGGCUUACCAAGGCAGCGAUAGGUAGGGGUCCUGAGAGGGAGAUCCCCACACUGGUACUGAGACACGGACCAGACUCCUACGGGAGGCAGCAGUGAGGAAUAUUGGACAAUGGGCGAGAGCCUGAUCCAGCCAUGCCGCGUGCAGGAAGACUGCCCUAUGGGUUGUAAACUGCUUUUACAGAGGAAGAACCACCCCCACGUGUGGGGGUUUGACGGUACUCUGCGAAUAAGGAUCGGCUAACUCCGUG